rnacentral:piRNA from 1 species
UUGGAAGUGAAAGUGAAAGAACU